CAGCCGCCGCGGUAAUACGUAGGGGGCAAGCGUUGUCCGGAAUUAUUGGGCGUAAAGCGCGCGCAGGCGGUCAUGUAAGUCUGGUGUUUAAUCCCGGGGCUCAACCCCGGAUCGCACUGGAAACUGGGUGACUUGAGUGCAGAAGAGGAGAGUGGAAUUCCACGUGUAGCGGUGAAAUGCGUAGAGAUGUGGAGGAACACCAGUGGCGAAGGCGACUCUCUGGGCUGUAACUGACGCUGAGGCGCGAAAGCGUGGGGAGCAAACAGGAUUAGAUACCCCGGUAGUCCCUGUCUCUUAUACA
rnacentral:rRNA from 1 species